UUUAUAGUUAAAAAUUGUAUAAACAAUCAAUAAAUCAAUUAAGAAAAUUUGCAAGUAAUUGGUAUAGCUUGAGAGCUUGCAAAAAGAAGGAAAGUAAUAAGGGAACAUGUGAAAAUAAAUUAUUAUUUUUGUAAAAAAAUGCUAAUAUAUGAAUUUUUGGUAUUAUGAAGAUGGGAAAAUGGAGUUUUGAAAAAGUUGUCAAUUUAUUUAUUUUUUAUCUGUAGUUACAAUUGUAAAUUUAUUGAUUAUUUUUAAAAAUUGGUUUCAUUGAAUGAAAAUUUCUAAGUAUCAUGUAAAAUCCACUAAAGGUCUCAAGACAUAAAAUAUGGCACAACUUGGUUCAAUAGGGAGAAAAUUACAUCAAUCUAGAAACAAAACUUAGAUGUGUUAGACAUUAUAUGUGUUACACAUAUGCUGUGAACAUGAAUUAUAUGCUUUUGGAUACAGAUGAGUUACACAUGGCAACACUUAGUUCUACUAAAUAAUUGAAGAUGAACUAUAUUCAAGGUAUCUAUUUAAGAUGAAAAUCACAUCAUAUUUGAAGCUUUUGGAUAUUCAUUUAAGAUGAAUUCAAGGUGAAAGUUAUUUUAAAUGAUUCAUUUACAUUUUAAAUUACAAUAAAAAUAUGUAUACAUUAUAAUAGUAAUAAUAAUAAGAAUAAUAUUUUACUGAAAUUUCAACAGUAUACACACAUCUGUGAAGAUCUUUCUUUUUUGUUAACAAAUAGAAUUGGAAACCUAACGCAAAAUCAAAAAUUGGUUAAGAA
rnacentral:lncRNA from 1 species